CGUUUUAUUUUUGGUCUUUAAUAAACUGCACAACGCAUCUUUUUGCGACUGCAGUACCUGUCUGUUGUUCUUCCGGCAUCUGGCCUAACGUCACCACAACAUUCUCAUCGUUAUCUGUAUAAACUGUCCGGUUUGUCCCAGUAUAACCGCGUAUGUAAAAAAAAAAAAAAAAAAGUCAGAGAGGCUUUUCCCAUUUGGAUUCACCCCUUCCAAAAACAAGAAUGAAAGCGCGAUCAACAAGAGGACUGUAUCCUCCCGACAUCAUGAGUUUCUGAUGUGCCACAGGCUGCCGGUAAAGGGGAUGCGGUGAUUUCCUACGAGGAGAAACGGCAACGCAAAUUACAGGCAACCUAAAUUUCACUUUGGGCAACCUGGAUUUCUUACUGGUUGCCAUGCAGGGCAACUGGAACAAAAGGUCCCCAAGAGGACCUGCCACUAUACCAGGGUCUCUCACAGGAGCUGUAGCAAGCAGUAGCAUUGGAGGAGAGCCCACAAAUUGAGCACGAGCUGAACACUAUAUAAAUCCCUGGGAUUUGGUUGCCAGUCCCACAGUCACCCCUUAUAGAAGAACCAGGAGGGCAUUGCAAUUGCCUUGUCUCUGGGCGUGGGACGUUUUGUGUAUGUAAAGCUGCCCUACACCCCACUAAAUUGUAAAGGGUAAAAUGUGUGUGUUUUCUUCAUGAGAGUAUUAAUACAUGUGAAAAAGUGUUGUAUUGUCUGAGUCAUACCUGAAUGGGGAAUAAAGGGACACUGGGACCCACAAAUGGCUAUAGCACUUUAAUAGGCUGUUGCAGCAGCCAAGUGUGAUUGUUAAGAAAGCUGCAGUGCAGAGGAAAGCUCACUGACUCGAGUGUGAUUGUUAAAGCUGCAGUGCAGAGGAGAGUUCACUGACUCAAGUGUGAUUGUUAAAGCUGCAGUGCAGAGGAGAGCUCACUGACUCAAGUGUGAUUGUUAAAGCUACAGUGCAGAGGAGAGCUCACUGACUCAAGUGUGAUUGUUAGGAAAGCUGCAGUGCAGAGGAGAGCUCACUGACUCGAGUGUGAUUGUUAAAGCUGCAGUGCAGAGGAGAGCUCACUGACUCAAGUGUGAUUGUUAAAGCUGCAGUGCAGAGGAGAGCUCACUGACUCAAGUGUGAUUGUUAGGAAAGCUGCAGUGCAGAGGAGAGCUCACUGACUCGAGUGUGAUUGUUAAAGCUGCAGUGCAGAGGAGAGCUCACUGACUCAAGUGUGAUUGUUAAAGCUGCAGUGCAGAGGAGAGCUCACUGACUCGAGUGUGAUUGUUAGGAAAGCUGCAGUGCAGAGGAGAGCUCACUGAAUCGAGUGUGAUUGUUAAAGCUGCAGUGCAGAGGAGAGCUCACUGAAUCGAGUGUGAUUGUUAAAGCUGCAGUGCAGAGGAGAGCUCACUGACUCGAGUGUGAUUCACACUAAUGAAGGCAACUAAAAAGUUUGUCUUAUUUCUUAUAAGUUUGGAAUAACUACAGAAGCAGUAUUGUCAGAGGAACCCAAGGAACUGAUGUAGAGUGCCAGAUCUCUGUGUAAAAAAGUGCCUCCUAUUUUCUUUUUUGAAUGCCCCUUUGU